rnacentral:sRNA from 1 species
GCCAGGCGUGGUGGCUCACGCCUGUAAUCCCACCACUUUGGGAGGCUGAGGUGGGUGGAUCACCUGAGGUCAGGAGUUUGAGACUAGCCUGGCCAACAUGGUGAAACCCCAUCUCUA